GAACAGAAGAAGAUUCAGGCAGUCGGUGACUAUGUUCUCCUUCCUUCUGAAUUUCCCUAGAGAAAAUUUCUACUCAUCUAAAUUUUAUGUGAUGGAAAAAAAGUGUCUGCAGAUGCCCUGGAAAUAUAGACAACAGUGUCCCUGUGGCCUGAUGGUGACAGCAGCUGGGUCUUAGGCUGCAUUCCUACCUGAGCUGGCUCUUGUUCCAGGACCCACAGGCCUCCAAGGUGACCUUUCUUUUUUAAUCCUUAUGCUGUAGAGAUUGUUCAGUAGUUUCAGUAAAGAGCAGCCUGGACAAAAUCCUGAGUGGCUUGCCAUCAAAGUUGAAUCCAGAAAUCUAAGACUCUCAGCUUAAAGCCAAUCACUUGGAGAGGAGUGAGUCCCGGAAUCAUUAUUCCUUUUCAUAACUCUGCUUGCUCCACUGUCUGUGGGUUCAGUAGCAGCUUUUUUCAGAAGGGUCUGCCCAGGCCUGAUACAGAAAACAACCCCGGGGAAUACGUGUGGCCCACCCUGGAGAGCAGAGACCGGCUGCUGCUUUGCAGUGGCCUUGACAAAGAAGUUCAAUCUUUGGGUGUCAUUUAGUCUCCUCCCAAAGCAUGCAGUAGUUUUGGAUCUCCAACAUUCCCUUUGUGUGGUGACACCUGGAGUUCUAAAAGACUGGCAGCGCCUCAGAUGGGCCUUUGGGUUGCCAGAUCAGACCCCACAGCCUUGCACGUCCGUCAAGAUGUCUGUGCACUGCAGCCAGCCUCAAGACAGCCUGCUGUUUGGUUGUCAGAUCCAACAGAUAAAGCCCCUCCUCCACUGUACCCUAGCUUUCACAUCCAAGCUUGUUAUCAGUCCCACAGCCCAUUUCAUGGUGUUCCCGGAGCAGAUUAAACAACAUCAGUCUCAGACAGCCAGAAGGAAGAAUCUCAUCUCAUCCCAUUUCCGUAGAGCUAGCCAAUCACAGUGUCUCUGGAAUGCAAAGACAGAGAGGCUGUCUCCA
rnacentral:lncRNA from 1 species